rnacentral:rRNA from 1 species
ACGAAGUAGAGGAUUUCCCCGUAGCGCAACGAGCGCAACCCUCGUGCCUUGNUNUGCCAGCGAGUCAUGUCGGGGACUCUAGGGAGACUGCCGGUGUCAAACCGGAGGAAGGUGGGGACGACGUCAAGUCAUCAUGGCCCUUACGUCCAGGGCUACACACGUGCUACAAUGGCCGGUACAGAGCGUCGCCAACUCGCAAGAGUGCGCUAAUCGCUAAAAGCCGGUCUAAGUACGGAUUGUGGUCUGCAACUCGACCACAUGAAGCUGGAAUCGCUAGUAAUCGUGGAUCAGCUACGCCACGGUGAAUACGUACCCGGGCCUUGUACACACCGCCCGUCACGCCAUGGAAGCUGGGGGGACCUAAAGUCGGUGGGCUAUUCGCAAGGGGGCAGCCGCCAGAGGUCAAUUCAGUGACUGGGGCGAAGUCGUAACAAGGUAGCCGUAGGGGAACCUGCGGCUGGAUCACCUCCUUUCUGGAGCAUCGAGUAGUGGCCGGCUUGCCGUGCCGACGAAAGAUCUCUGGUGUCGCCCGCACUCAUCGUUCGAUGUCCGAUUCGCACUCACUUUUCAUCUGUCGCCUGGGCCUUCGGGACCAGGCUGCUCUUUGACAAUCGAAGGACGGAUGGUGUGCGCGUAUCGGCCNGUGCUGNCUGAUGCGCCAAUGAGAGGNAAUCUUUACCG